rnacentral:rRNA from 1 species
UACGGAAGGCAGCAGUGGGGAAUAUUGCACAAUGGGCGCAAGCCUGAUGCAGCCAUGCCGCGUGUAUGAAAAAGGCCUUCGGGUUGUAAAGUACUUUCAGUCGUGAGGAAGGUGUUAAGGUUAAUAACCUUAGCAAUUGACGUUAGCGACAGAAGAAGCACCGGCUAACUCCGUGCCAGCAGCCGCGGUAAUACGGAGGGUGCGAGCGUUAAUCGGAAUUACUGGGCGUAAAGGGCACGCAGGCGGUUAAUUAAGUUGGAUGUGAAAUCCCCGGGCUUAACCUGGGAAUGGCAUUCAAGCUGGUUAGCUAGAGUCUUGUAGAGGGGGUAGAAUUCCAUGUGUAGCGGUGAAAUGCGUAGAGAUGUGGAGGAAUACCGGUGGCGAAGGCGGCCCCUGGACAAAGGACUGACGCUCAGUGUGCGAAAGCGUGGGGAGCAAAC